CGCGGUAAAACCAGCACCUCAAGUGGUCAGGAGGAUUAUUGGGCCUAAAGCAUCCGUAGCCUGCUCUGUAAGUUUUCGGUUAAAUCCAUUAGCUCAACUGAUGGGCCGCCGGAAAAACUGCACAGCUAGGGAGUGGGAGAGGUAGACGGUACUCGGUAGGAAGGGGUAAAAUCCUUUGAUCUAUUGAUGACCACCUGUGGCGAAGGCGGUCUACCAGAACACGUUCGACGGUGAGGGAUGAAAGCUGGGGGAGCAAACCGGAUUAGAUACCCGGGUAGUCCCAGCUGUAAACGAUGCAGACUCGGUGAUGCCCUGGCUUGUGGCCAGUGCAGUGCCGCAGGGAAGCCGUUAAGUUUGCCGCCUGGGAAGUACGUACGCAAGUAUGAAACUUAAAGGAAUUGGCGGGGGAGCACCACAAGGGGUGAAGCCUGCGGUCCAAUUGGAGUA
rnacentral:rRNA from 1 species